CUGUCCACUCUGCCUGUCAAAAAAAAAAAAAAAAAAAUUCAACCACGGCUGGCACCGUGGCUUACUAGGCUAAUCCUCUGCCUGCGGUGCUGUUAUUCCGGGUUCUAGUCCCAGUUGGGGUACCAGUUCUGUCCCAGUUGCUCCUCUUCUAGUCCAGCUCUUUGCUGUGGCCCAGGAGAGCAGUGGAGGAUGGCCCAAGUGCUUGGGCCCUGCACCUGCAUGGGAGACCAGGAUAAGCACCUGGCUCCUGGCUUCAGAUUGGUGCAGCGUGCCAGCUGUAGUGGCCAUUUGAGGGGUGAACCAACAGAAAAGGAAGACCUUUCUCUCUGUCUCUCUCUCUCUCAGUCUAACUCUGCCUGUCAAAAAACAACAACAACAAAACUCAACCACAUAAAUUUAUUGCCUGACCUCGUCAGAGACUGAACUGGGUCUCACAGGGCUAAAAUCAAGGUAUAGGCAAGGCUUCUUUCCUUUAUGGAAGCUCUAUGGAGAAUCUGUUUCCUGGUUCCUUUUCAGCUUCCAGAGGCUGCCAGCAACACUUAAUUUGUGGUCUUUGCUCCAACUCCAAAGCCAGCAAUGUUGCAACUCUCUGUACCUCUCUUCCUUAGCCACAUCUUCUUCCUACUAACUCUCCUUCCAGUUUUAAUGGUCUUUGUGAUUACACUGGGCCUAUCUAGAUAGGAGCAGUUAGCAAUUUCAAUUCCAUCUACAAUUUCCUUUGCCUUAUAGCCCUAAUAUAUUCUCAGGUUCGAGGGAUCAGGACACGGACAUCUGUGGGGAACAUUCUUGUGUCUGUCACUCCUCAUAGCAAUUUAGUACAUUCCUAUUCUCAUCUGGAAAAUGGGAGUGAUAGUACCACUGUCUAGUGUUGUUGUGACAGCCAAAUGGGGUGAGUAUAAAUCCUUGGGGCCAGUCUGCAGGCCCAUGUCAGAGGUAUGGAGGCUGAUCUCGACGUGUCCUUCAGCAUCUGUGCAGUGCUUGCUCUUGGUUCUCACAAGCACAUCCCUUGAAGCUGAGCUGGGCUGCGCCUGUCCUACUUCUCAUUAGGCUGCAGGUGCCUGGUCUUUACCUGGGACAAUCUUACCAGUCAAAUAUCGGUAAAAUUGAAAAACAACCAAGCAGUGAGCAUAGCACAAUGUACACAGGACUUUGGGUCAAGCAUUUCAGUGUCUAUGGUCGAACACUCUAUGUGGACUCUGAAUUUUUGGUAGGGGCUGAUUAAGAUGCUAUUUGGGAUGACUGCAUCUUGUAUUGGCUCCACUUCUGAUUCCAACUUCCUGUUAUGCACACUCUAAUAAGCAGCAGGUGAUGGUUCAGGUAUUUGAGUCCCUGCAACCUGCUCUUAGGAAACCCAUAUGGAGUUCCCAGUUCCCACUUUUAGCCUGUCCUAGCUCUGGCUGUUUCAGGGCUUUAGAGAAUAAAUAAGUAGACAGGAGAUACUGUCUGUCUAUCUCUCUGCCUUUCAAAUACAAUCAAUUAAUUAAUAAAAAUAAAUUUUAGAUAGGGUCUAAUUCAAAGGCUUUUUCUGAGAACCUCGUGUAAAUCCUAUUGUUAUUCUCAUCAUCAUAAAUAGUUACUGGCUUUUUCCAGAUAUUGUCAUCAUUCCUGCCUCACCCCCAGGAACACAGUUAGGAAUGUGAGGCAACUCUCUCAUAAAUCUGUAUCUUCAUAUCUGUGCUGUCUGCUUUGGUGGCCAAAUUGAAAGCAUACUCCUCAAUCUCACUAGCCACUUGUCAGUGGCUCGCAACCACUUAGGGCUAGUUGCUACCAUAUUGUUCAACACAAAUAUAGGACAUCUCCAUCAUCACAGAAAGUUCUACCAGACAAGCCUGGACUAAACUGUGAGUCCUUCCCCUCCAUGUCUUUGAAAGUAUUCCAGAAAAAUAUUCCAAAAACACCGUGUAGAGAAUUUUGGGGAUGCCAGAGAUCCCACAGAACAUAGUUUAGGUUAAAUAAUCCCAGAUACACCUACCAAACUGACUAGAAAUAGGGAUAAAAGUGAACAUUGUUGCUGUGAGAACCGUGACUUAGUUUAUAGAGACCGUUGACUUGGGGGCUAUGCAUUACUUCUUACAGAUAUGCCCGCUCUCGGAUAGUCGCAGCAGUUUGGCACAAGAGGGAUUGUGUCAUAGAAAACAGCCAUGUUUAACUUUUUGGGGAAAAUGACCAAAUAGUCAAGUCCAGCAGCAUCUCAGAAGCAGGCAUGGGGAGGCAGAAACCAGCCAGCUCUGAGAGAAGUUAGCAAAAGCAAGCCUGAGAGCUGCUUGGCUUAAGUCUGCUAUCAUGCGCAGAGCUGGGCAGUGACCAUGUGUCAUCACGGGGCCUCCUUGAGGAGGAAAAGGCAGGCCUGGCGUCAGAUGCAAUAAGCAUCCUGGCUUCCCUGGGAAAUCAGGUCUGAAAUGUCCUGCUGGCCAGCCCGCUGCCCUCUUCCUGUGGCUGCAGCUCUGCCCGGGGGGAGGUGAGGGUGAGAACCAUGGCAGACACACUGUAGUUCAGGGUAGCCACUAGAAAGGUCCCAGGCGAUCAAUGACAAGUCCCAUUUAUGCUGCUUUUAAAAAUAUGCUUGCCAUUUUAUUGGCAUGGUUUGUACUACUGGUGUAGAUUGUCAUAAAGAAAAUGGCUGUUGGUUGUUCUUUAAUGUGGAAUAAUAAUCCCUACCUAACAAUCAUAAUUAUAACUGAAGGAUACAUGACAAGCUCUGGCACUGAGUAUGGCCUGUACCAAACAGUUAGGAAAUGUUAGUUUGAAUAAGAAACAUUAUACAUAUUUGGUAGUAAAUAAUAUCUUUUAGCAAUCUUCAUCAAUAUUAAUGAUUUUGAUUUAAUCAAUAAUGCAUGACUGAUAGAUUUAUAAUAUUUAAAUAAAAAUUAGAUUAACAAGACAAUAAUUUAAUACUGUUAUUAAAUUCAGCAAAAUACUAAUAGUAUUUUAUUCAUCCCACAAAUAUCUGUGGAGCACCCACUUCGUGUUAAAUUCUAUUUUAUGCCUUGUAGUAGCAGGUGAAUGAGGUCCUUGACCUCAGGAAAUUCAUACUAUACCUGAGUGGAGGGAAACUGCAUAGUAAGAUAAUUACAGUUAGUGAUCCAUGCUAGGAAGAGUGAUUAAUGAUGGGGGGUGGGGGAGGAGCUGCCUAUUUCACUAGCUAUUUCCUUAGAGUGGCCAGGAAAUUUCCCAUCUGAGAAGUGUACAUUUGCCUAACCCCUGUGGUUUGUAGCAUGCCACCAUUCAAUCAUGCUGUUGUAGGGCUACAGCAGGCAAAGACAAAAGGGUAAGGGGUGGAUCUGUGCUCCAAUAAAACUUUAUGGACACUAGAAUUUGUAUUUUAUAUAAUUUUUAUGUAUAAAUAUAAUCUUUAUUGUUUUCCAAUGAUUUGAAAAUAUCACAGGGUUAACUUAGCCCUUGGCUGUGCAGAUUUGUGCUCUAGACUAACCAGGAUUGAGCCAUCACCACUGUCGUCUUCCAAGGUCUGCAUUAUCAGGAAGCUGGAGUCAGGAGCUGGAGCUGGACACAAAACCUAGAUAAUCUGAUAUUGGACACAGUCUCCUUUACCAUUGUCCUAACCACUCAGACAAAUACCUGCAUGGGGAAAAGUUAACUUUAUUUGGAAAAGAAUGCAGAGAAUAUAAAGCUUAAGAAUGCUGAAUUUCUUUGGGGGUACCAUAACAAAUAUUGCAACCUAGGCUUGAAAUAAUGUAAAUUUUUUUCUCCUGUACUUUUGGAAGCCAGAGCUCUGAAAUUAGGUUGCCUUCAGGGUGUACUCUUGGGAGGCUCUGCAGGAGAAUCUUCUAGUUUGUGGUGGUUUCCUUGACUUCCUCCAUGAUGGCUGACUUGUGGCCAUGGUGCUCCAAUCUCUGUCUCCACUUUCGUAUUUUGUCUCCGUAUGUCUCUUUGUGUCUAAUGAAUCUUGGCCUCUCUCUUCUGCUGUCAUUCUCCUUGAGUUUAUCCUACUUGGAGUUCAUUGAGCAACUUUCAUCUAUAGAGUCGUGGCUUUUUCCAUCAGUGUUGGGAAAUUUUCAGCCAUUACUUCUUCAGACACUCUACCACCCUCCUUCCCUGUUUCUCCUUCCUCCUUCAACCCCCCAUCCCCCACCAUUCUGUUUUGGCCUUCAAAUAUGCAUAUGAGUAGAUUAAGUCAUGUCACCAGAAUUAAAAAUGUUUGUGCUCAAAGGAUCCAUCAAAAAAGUGAAAAGAAUUCACAAAAGAGAAAAAUAUUUCAAAUUUUAUAUUUGAUAUGACAUAUUUAAUGAGUGUAUAAAGAACCCUUACAAAUUAAUAAUAAAAAGACAAAUAGCCUAAUGGGGUAUAAGCAAAGAAUAUAAAUAGAUAUUUCUUCAAAAAUGGCCAGUAAGCACAUGAAUAGAUACUCACAUUAUUAGCUAUUGGAAAUACAAAUUCAGACCUCUAUGACAUGGCAUUUCACACCCUUUAUGAUGCUGAUAGGCAAAAUGACAAAGGUGGGUGAGGAUGUGAAGAAAUUGGAACACUCCUACUCUACUGGUGAGACUAUAAAAUGAUACAGCCACUUUGGAAAAUAGACUGGCAGUUCUAAAACACGUUUAUAAACAUGAAGUUACUAUAUGGCCCGGCUAUCCAACUCCUGGAUACAUAACUUGUUCACAAAUAAUCAAAAGCAACAUUAAUGAUAGUUAAAGAAUGAAACUAACUCAAAUGUCAAUCAACAGAUGAAUGGAUACACAAAGCAUAGUGUAUUCAUAGAUCAGGAUAUUAUUCAGCCAUGAUAGGAGGUAGUAAUACAUACCACAAUUUUGUUAAUGAAUGAAAAAGAUCAACCAGGUCACAAAAGACCAUCCAUCCAGCAUAAAGUGAUUUCAUUUGUAUGAAAUGGCCACAGUAGGCAAAUAUAUAGAGAUAGAAAAUAGAUUAGAAGUUGCCAAGGGCUAUGAGGUUGGGAGAACUGAGAAAUGAUUGCUGAGAAGUGUUUCUUUUCAGGGUGAUGGAAAUGUAGUAAAAUCAAUGGUGGUGAUGAUUGUGUGACUCUGUGAACUUGUACACUUGAAGUGAGUGAACCCUAUGGCAGGUGGAUUCUAUCUCAAUUAGGCUGUUAUUUUAAAAAAUGAAAUUGGAAAUGUGGCAGGGAAGGGUAAACAGAUCCUACAGGAUCUUGCAAGUUUCACGGGGUGUUUAGUUUUACUUCAGGUGAGCCAGAAGACCUUGGAAGUUUGGGGGGCAGAAAGCAAAAUAAUCUGAUUUAUGUUAUUAAAAAUAUCACUUCUUCCUUUCUCAUAUUAAGGAUAUUGUUUUCAGGGUGACUCUCCUGUCAACUCUGUGGUUUGGGUGGAGUGCAUUCAUCAAAUGCCAGCUCUGUAACCUCCAGAAUACCAAUGCUGUGAAACACUCACACACUGCAAGUCCAGGGGUAAGCCAGGGUACAAGGAGAUCUGCAAAAGUGCCCACCAGAGCCUCUUCCUGCCUGCUGUGGUGGUGGCUAGAUGGCUGUGCCAUGUGCCCCGCUUUCACAUAGCUUCGUGAGCGGUGAACAGGCAAUCCCGCCAGACAGGCAGACCUCUGCCAUUUGCUCCUUUGUCUGACCGUGAUCAUGGAAAAGCAAAUCCCCUACUGCCACAUGAGCCAUUCCCCAGGUGAGGUUGCUCCAGAGUGUAGGCUGGCUCUGUUCUUCAGGACUAGCGCGCCCCUAGAAUCUGCUGUGUAUCCUCAGCCACUCCUGGGUCUUCAGUAACGCCCAUUAGCAGUAAUCCUUAAAAAUGCCUGAGUGCUCCUAAAGAAACUUUUCCUCUGUGUGUGGCAACAGAGGCUCGCACGGCUUUUAUCCGGGAGGUCUGGCGCGCCCACCCAGGAAGGAAGCAGGCAUCUCCUUCUGCAGUUAACCUGUCUCCUGACAUCAUUUGUUGGCAGUCUUGGAUGACAUUUGUUCUGGGAACUGGCUGCAUGUUCUCAAAAAGAUAAGGACUUUCCUUCUAGAUAGAUUGAUGACAAUGAGAUCAUGACAUGAGAAGCUGGGGUUGUGAUAGUGAAACCCAGCUCCGAAAGGGUAGGCCAGAGGUCAGAUGCUCAAAUGCCGUCAGGGCUGUAGCGAUAAGGGAACAGCUGUGGCUCCUGUCUGUGAAGGCAGCUGUGAGCCAUGGUUACUCGAGCAGUGUAACUCGGUGGUGGCUCUGUUGCAUUUCAACUUAAAAUUGUUAGGUGGAAUACUAAUGGAACUAAAUCAGUUGUGGACUCACAGACCUCUAAUUUGCAAACCCCAGGACAGAGUUGAGAAAUCACCUUUAACCUUGAGAUUAUUUUUCAGAUGGCUGAAGCCCCUAAGUGUAUUCUCCCAUCCCAAGCACCCAGGAAAUGGAGGCAAUUUCUGCAGAUAGGGUUUUGUCUAUAGAUAUUGAUUCAGCCAUCUUGUUGUAAGUAAGGAGUGCUUGUGGCCUUCAGGUGAUCUAUGACUUUGGAGGGGCCAUGAGGAUGGUGACGAUCCUGUUCUCCAUGCACCAGGCACUGGACUAAGCACUUUUUAUGUUCUUUAUAUGCUUAUAUCUAUUUCAUCCUCAUUAAAUAGAUACCACUAGAAUUCUUACAUUUAACUGAGACGGUAACUGAUAGUCAAAGAGAUUAAACGACUUGUCUAAAGUCACAGAACUUUAUAGCUUUCAAAAUUCUCCAAGGAAAAAUAUUUACCAGGACACUCUGUUCUUUAGGAAUAAUUUCUUUUUUAUACACACACACACACGCACGUAUAUAUUUGAAAGCUGGAGCAACAGACAGAGAGAUGGAGGGGAGAAAGAGGGAGAGAGAGAGAUCCAUCUUCCAUUUGCUAGUUUAAUCCCCAAAUGGCUAUAACAACCAGGGCUGGGCCAGGUUGCAGUCAGGAGUCAGAAAUUCCAUCCUUGGGGAUGGCACUGUGGCGCAGCGGGUUAAUGCCCUGGCCUGAAGCACCUGCAUCCUAUAUGGGUGCCAGUUCGAGACCUGGCUGCUCCGCUUCUGAUCCAGCUCUCUGUUACGGUCUGGAAAAGCAGUAGAAGAUGGCCCAAGUCCUUGGGCCCCUGCACCCAUGUGGAAGACCCAGAGGAAGCUCCUGGCUCCUGGCUCCUUGGCUUCGGAUCAGCGCAGCUCUGGCUGUUGCAGCCAAUUGGGGAGUGAACCAUUGGAUGGAAGACCUCUCUCUCUCUCUCUCUCUCUCUCUCUCUGCUUCUCCUCUCUCUGUGUAACUCUGACUUUCAAAUAAAUAAAUAAAUAAAUAUUCCAUCCUGGUCUCUCACAUGGAGGGCAGGGGUCCGUGUACUUAGGCCAUCCUUUGUUUCUGUCCCAGGAACAUUACAGGGAAGCUGGAUCAGAAGUUGAGUAGCCAGGACUUGAAUCAGUACUCUAAGAAAGCAGAAGCUUAACUGGCUGUGCAACAAUGCAUGCCCCUAGUAUCAAUUUAUCAUGUGGAUUUCAAAAAUUUACAUGCAUAUUCAUUGAUUUACAUGAAUUUCAGUUAAGUUUUCCAUGCAUGCCCAUGGUUGUAAACAUUUUUUGAAACAUGCCUUUAAGGCUGGUAGGGAUGGUAAAAAGACAGUGAAACAAGGGGAAGAAUAGGGAUUCUGUACUAGAACUGAACCUUCUAAAUGUUUGUCUAAAAUCAGGGUCAGGAAGCUAUGGCCUAUGGGACAAGUCUGGCCUGUCACUUGAUUUUAUAAUCACAGUUCUGUGGAAACACAGCCACAUCCAUCCAUUAUGUGCUAGUUAUGGCUGCUUUCUCCUAAUAAUGGCAGAGUUGAGGGGUCGCGACAAGACUGCAUUCUCCUCAAAGUGAAAACUAACUUAUCAUCUGACCCUUUAUGGAAAAAGUUUGUUAGCCUUUGGUCUAAAAAAAAACUGAUAUUAUAAGCAUAAGACAUCUAUCAUUUCCACAAAUCCUACGAUUUCUCUGGCUAUGUUUUUUCCCAGGUUUAGCCAAUGAAGCAAAUCACUAGGGCAAAUAAAUGCUUUAAUGAAAUUCCUAUUUUGCUCCACUCUUCUCUGUUUAGGAGGAACCAAUGUUGGUGAGGGCCAAACCAUUUCCCCAGGUCGCAGAGUCAUCUGGGGAGAACAAUAAAUAAUAAUGGUAUCGGUCAUCCCAAAACAGCUUAGUUUUUUCUGAGUAUUUAAACACCAUGCCCAGUGCUUUGCAUGCAGCAAAUCUUGGAAUCCUCAUGAUUACCUUCCAAGGUCAUUACCAUUAUUACCCACAUCUGAUGGAUGAGGAAGCUGGGGCCUUCACAAGGAAGCUUCCCAGAAUCACCCAGGCUAUGAUCCCAAAAGGAAAGACCUUUAAUCAAAGCAUCUUGGAUGAGAGCUUCACAUGCAGGCCCUGCUCAGGGCAGUGAUGAGCUGGAGAAACAGGUGUGGCUACUGGGGAGGAAGAUGAGUUGUUUGUGGCCAUCGUCACAGAGGAAAAGCGAGGUAGGGUAUCCGGAGAGCUGCAUGGCCAGGAAUCAUCCACCAUGCUGAAGUCUUGCUCAGCCCAUUCCUGCCUGAUUGCUCCUGGCCUGCUGGGCCCAUGAAGGCUCAUGCCAGCCUGCUCCACCCAGGAUGGAGACCACCUCCCGACGUCAGUUCCCAAAAGCAGGGCCUCAGAACCAGAUUACUGGGUUGGAACAUGUCUCCCAGGUGAUUCUCAUGUAAACAAAUCUUGGGAGCCCCUGGGUAGAGGCUGAAAGGUUUUAUCUGGAGAAGACCCAGUAGAGAUGGGGGUCGGUCUUCACGGCCAGGGAAAGGCUGAGUGCGGCUGUCUCCGUGAAAACAGGAUCAUGGUGAGUGACUGAGUUCUGCUAUCCAAGUGGGGAAUGGGAACAUUGGGGAGGAGGUGAGAAAGGAAAGGCGACACCUCUUCUAUCCCUAAGAUUACUGUUGCUGUGAUGGGGUAGACUUAGCAAUGUCUGCUUUCCCCCCAAAGAAGUCCGUGCCCUAAUACCUGGAACCUAGAGAUGUGUUGUCUUAGAGAGCAAGGUGAUUUUGUAGAUAUGAUUAAGUUCAUUACAGAUAAUCAAAGGGGGAGCUGACUUGUGGUGGACCUAUUAGGCAGACCCAUUAAGGUAGCAAAUCUUCAUUGGCUGAAUUUGGAGAGAAGCCCCACAGUAAGGAAAGGCUGGAGGGAUUCACAGUAUGAGAGGGAGUCUGCCGACAUUGUUGGUUUAAGAAACAGAAAGGAGCCAGCAGCUUAGAAAUGUGGGUGGCUUGCAGCAGAUAGAACAACACCCAACUGACAGCCAGCCAGGGCAUGAGGACCUUCGUCUUAAAACAAGAAGGAACAGGAUUCUGCCAACAAUUUGAGCAAGCCUAGAUUCGGUCCUAGAGCUUCCAGGACAGCCCAGCCUUGGGGACAACCCUGAUCUUGGUCAGUGUAAGCUUCAGGGCACCUCUGACAACUGUAAGGUCCUACACUUGUGUUGUUUUUAGCCGCCAACUUUGUGCCUACAUGUUGUGACAACAAUAGAUAACUAAUACAUCUUAUGGAUGAAAUGUGCUGGUUUGCAGUUUGUGAGAAAGAGGUUCAGGUGGAAGGAAUUAUGGGGGAAAGUAGGGAGAAGAGUUGCUUGAUUGAGUCCCUUGUAAAGAAUACGAGAUAAAAGUCGUCAGACUUGUUCCCUGUUACCUUUUCCUAGCUAAUCUCCAUGUAAUCCCUAAAACAAGAAUGGCCCUGAGACAAGGUGUUAAGAAGGCAGCUUUCCCAGGCUUGCUCUGAAAUGUCUGUGAAAGAGAGGAGCCCUUUUAGACUAUGCGGAGUCGUGCCAGCACUCAGAGCCUUCUUCCUUGUUGGCAUUAGACAUUUUAGCCCUGGUCACGCUAGUGUGGACUGUUUUUAUCUCAUGGUAGAGUCUGCAUUUCGCAGAGCCAUGGCUUGAGCCUCUAAGGGUCUGAGUGUGUCCUCCUUGUUGUGCAUAAUCAGCAGCAGCUUGAAGGGUGGACGUGGGGGGGGGAUGUGGGGGAUGUGAGCGAGUUGCUUGUGCUUUUUGAUUCCUACUCUCAUCUCCACCCCAGUCCUCAGGAGUUAUUCUUAAAGUGAUUGCCUUUGUUUGUUGUCUGCGCUGUGUUUAUCAUGCUGUGUUCCUUUUCCAAGUGGGGAAGAAAUGUAUUCUUUAAUUUAUGAGGAUGUAAUACUAUAAUAGUACAUUCCUUUGUCUGAAUUGUAUUCUUAACUAUUACCUUGGUCUGUCCUUUAAUUGAAUUGGAUAGAGACAGCACAUUGCAAUUGUUAAGGUUAACGACCCAAUGAUUUACAAGACAAGGCACAUUACUGGCAAAUAGAUUUUAGUAAUUGUUCCACUCCACAGUGAGAAUAACAGUGUGUGCAUUGAUUCACUGUCCUGAAGGUAGGGCUUUGCCCAGAGAAGACAGGGCCCCUGUCCUGUGGAGGCUACCAAGGGGAAUGCCUAGGAUUGAGGAGAUUCCAGGCCUGUUAAGCUCUUCUUGCUAAGAGUGAUUUUGCUCAGGAAAGCCCUCAGGUGCCCUCAGGUGGAGUGAAUGUUUUAAAGAUGCUGACGACUCAGAAGUGCUGCAGGUGACAGAAUUAAAAACAAAGAAAAACACUCAAACUAAUACAGGUUACUUUUCUCCAGCUCUCUUGAAUUCUGAUUGACAAAUUGAAAGUGUCUGUAUUUAGGGUGGACAAGGGUCAGUAGUACUCCAUUGGAUACGAAUAUUGCAUUUUCUCUAUCUACUCAUCUGCCAGUACACACACUGUUGGGGAACUUUGAAGAAGCAAAUGAGCCUGUAUGCGUUUGGAGAAUGGAGUUUGAGCCAUGUCUUGGAAGCUCUGCUGGGGCGUUGAGAUGGAAAUCAUGGAUUCAAGGGAGUCAGGACUCGGGCCUCCCCUCCUCUCCUGGCCCAGAUGAAGAGCAGUCCAAGAGGGUCUGCCCCUCGCUGCGGUGACAGGAGUGUGGGCUACAAGUUGGGAUCAAUUGUUACUGCUUCUGAGAUUGCUCCUGUCAGAAGAGACCAAGAGAAAACUUGUGCUGCCUGUAAUAAUCUUACCUGGCUUGUUGGCAUCUCAUGUUAGGUAAUAAGUAGAUUGACCUUGGGGUGCAUAUCUGUAAAGAAGAUCCAAAUGAGGAUAUAGGUAUGAAGAUUUAGAGGCAACUUAAUAGAAUAAAUACCCUCAUCUAAUGUUAAAAUGAUGACAAGGAGAUAUAUUUGAGAUUGUGCCUUGUGUUGUAGUAAUUUUACGUGUCAACUGGGUGCCAGAUUAAGCGGCGUUUCUGGGUGUGCCUGUGAGGAUGUUUGCAGAAGAGAUUGACAUUUGAAUUGAUGGACACAGUAAGAUUGAUUAUCCUAUGCAAGUGGGUGUAGGCAGACAUCAUGCAAUCUGUUGAGAGUAUAAGUGGAAUAAAAUAGUGGAGGAAGGUCACUCUUUUAUUCAUCCCUCAUUGUAGGAGUUGGGACAUCUCAUCUCUUAUCUUCAGACUGAGAUUUAUACUGUCAAUUGCCUUGCUUCUCCAGCCUUUAAAGCUGGACUGAGUUAUGUCACCAGCUUUCAUGGAUCUUCAGCUUACAGAUUGUAGAUUGUGGAACUUCUUAGAUCUCAUAGCUGUGUGAAGCAUUCCUUCAUAAUCUCCAAGUAUGCACAUGUACAUCUACAUGUUUGUGUCUCUAACAGAUGAUAGAUAGAUAGCUGGAUAGAUGGAUAGCUGGAUAGCUGGAUGGCUAGAUGGAUGAAGAGGGAGGCAGGAAGGGGAGGAGGAUGGAAAGGGAAGGAUGGAUGGACAGAUGGAUAGAUAUAUCCUAGCGUCUUACCAUCUUACUAGGAGCCUGUUGAUUCAGUUUUCUGGAGAACCCUAAUAAAUAUGUAUUAUCAAGCCCUACCCCAUGAAUAGCCUGUGCAAAUUGUCGACGUGUUUACAUGGCCGUGCUUUUAUCCAAUGCAAUCGAUGUAGAGAAUAGUGAGGUUCUUCUGGGGAAAAGUUGAAGGAAGGAUAGGUAAAUUAGUGAUAUGAUGCAAGCAUUAUAAUGUGGUAUUCAACCUAUUGCUACAGUUAGAUUUAAAUCAGUAUAAAAGCAAAACCUCAGUCAUGAGACAAGUUAGAUGUUAGUAGCUUUAAUAUUAAGUUAAAAAAGUAAAAAUAGUACAUCAUGUUACUUUAAACAGUGCUCCCAGAUUCUAGCCAAGAAUUGCAGAUUUUCGAUAAAACCAUGAAUUUAGAGUACUUGAAGAACUAUUUUUCCCCAUUCUCAAAAACAAGCUGUUUAUUCAAUUAUUGAGUGAUAGGAGAAAGAAAAAAUCAAGUUAACCUCAGUUUGAUUUGCACAAUCCACUGCCAUGUGAUUCUGUUCUUUUCCAUUUCAGUUACUCAGUUCCUCUGUUGAAAUUAUAUUUGUGCUGAAACUGCUAGACCCAGGCUAACAGAUCUGAAUCCAAUCUUUUUGCACAGAGAGAUGGAUCUAAGGUGGGCCUGAUUCCUAAGCAGCAUCAAUGAGCAUUUGUGUGAAGGACUGAUAGGGACUCUGCGGUUGUGGGCAUUCCAUUUGUUCCUUUGGGAUUAUGAGUUAAGGCCAUGCAAAUCUGAAACUGUUCUAUGAUUCCUACUGUGUAGAGACAACUUUUCUUAUGCGAAGCCAAGUGGAGGGAAGCAGAGCAAAGAGAUGGAUACAGCGUUCUGUGCAUGAAGACCUUUAUCACCCUUCCCAAAUAUGAAUCAAUAAAAUUGCUUUGCUUUGCUUUUUGUUUUACUUAAGUUAGAGUUUGGUUUUUCUCAUGUGUCACUGACCAUUGGAAACAUUACUGAAAUAGGAAUCCUCUAGAAGAAAAUGGCAGUGUCUAUCUAAAUUUCAGAACAAAAACACCAAGCAUUGAUAGAGGCAGGCACGGUAGGGUGAGGGUUGCACAUUGUAUCAUUGCCUAAUGACACUGACUAAAUGAAGUCUGAAUGUUUCUGCUUAGGAAAGAGGGGUGGGAAGUGAGACAACUAAAAGUUCAUUCUCAGCUAAGCUAUUUUAUUUUUCUUAAAGAUUUUAUUUUUUUGAAUGACAGAGUUACAUAGGUAGAGACAGAGAGGUCUUCCAUCACUGGUUCCCUCCCCAGAUGGCCGCAAUGGCCAGAGCUGUGCCAAUCCAAAGCCAGGAGCCAGGAGCUUCUUCCAGGUCUCCCACGUGGGUGCAGGGGCCCAAGGAUUUGGGCCAUCUUCUACUGCUAUCCCAGGCCAUAGCAGAGAGCUGGCUCAGAAGAGGAGCAGCCGGGACUAGAACCAGCACCCAUAUGGGAUGCCGGGGCUUCAGGCCAUGGCUUUAACCCAGUGCACCACAGUGCCAGUCCAAGCUAAGCUGUUUUAUAGGUGUGUGGCUUCGAGUGAGUGACUGCACAUCUAGGUAAUAAUGCCCAUCUCUUAGUGUUACUGGAAAGAUUCUGUUAAAUAAUACAAGGCUCUCACACCUACAGACUCUAAAUGUGUGAUUCUUAAAUCUUUACAUAAAGGAUUCAAAGUAGUUUAGGAGAGCACAUACUACAAAAUGAUAGAAAACUACAGAUACUUAAAGCAAAUCAGGGCCAGGAAUCUAUGAAUAAGAGAAGGUUAAUAUUGGGGUGGGAAGGAGCCGUCAUCAUAGUGUAGUGUGUAAAGGCGAUGCCACUGGUAUCCCAGAUGGACAGUGAUUGGUGUCCUGGCUGCUCUGCUUAAUCUCCAGUUCCUUGCUAAUGGUCUGGAAAAAGCACUGGAAAUGGCCCAAGUCGUUAAGUCCCUGCCACCCACAUAGGAGACUUGGAAGAAACUCCUGGCUCAGCACUAGGUGUUACAGCUAUUCAGGGAGUGAACCAACAGAUAGAUCUCUGUCUGUAUAUAUCCUUCAAUCUUCCUCCUGCCCCCUGUAAUUCUGACUUUCAAAAAAAAAAAAAAAAGAUUGUAGUGUAGAGAAGAGUGCAAAAGAAACAAACAGAAAACCAAAACAAAACAAAAAACCAGAUCUAAGACUCUACAGUGUUGUGAUAUCAGUUUAAAGUUAGGUUUUGAGCUUCCUGAGAGUCACAUAGAAAGAUGUAAAUAGUCAAUUCUGGGUUUUUUAUACAGUUAUUUAUUUACUUGAAAGGCAGUUUGAUAGACAGAUGGUGGUCUUGCAUCUGCUGGCCCAUUCCCCAGAUGGCCACAUCUGCCAAAAAUAAGCCAGGCUGAAGCCAGAAGUCAUGAACUUCAUUCAGUUCUCUAACAUGAGUGGUAGGGGUCCAAUUACUUGGGCCAUUAUCUGCUGGCUUCCUAAGCACAUAAGCAGGAAGCUGAAUUGGAAGUAGAGGAGACAGGGCUUGAAAUGGUGCUCCUAUAUAGGAUGCAGGUGUUGCUAGUGAUGGCUUAACCCACUGCACCACAAAGAGUCCCAAUUCUCAACGUCAAAAUGAAAGAAACAGAUUAGUCCCCGCCCCCAAAAGCAAUAAAUAUAUAAUGAGAAACCUCUAAUGUGAUUAUCAGGUAGGAAAGUCACUGCUGAUAGAGUAGCCAGCAUCCUUCUAUCAAUCAGUAGUAACAAUGGAAAUUUUAUUUCUUUUUUUUAACUUUUAUUUAAUAAAUAUAAAUUUCCAAGGUACAGCUUUUGGAUUACAGUAGCUUUUCCCCCCAUAACCUCCCUCCCAACAGCAACCAUCCCAUCUCCCGCUCCCUCUCCCAUCCCAUUCACAUCAAGAUUCAUUUUUCAAUUAUCUUUAUAUACAGAAGGCCAAUUUAGUAUAUACUAAGUAAAGAUUUCAACAGUUUGCACCCACACAGAAACACAAAGUGUAAAGUACUGUUUGAGUACUAGUUAUAGCAUUAAUUCACAUAGUACAACACAUUAAGGACAGAGAUCCUACAUGGGGAGCAAGUGCACAGUGACUCCCGUUAUUGAUUUAACAAUUGGCACUUGUUUAUGAUGUCAGUAAUCAUCCGAGGCUCUUGUCAUGAGCUGCCAAGGCUAUGGAAGCCUCUUGAGUUCGCCAACUCCGAUCUUAUUUAGACAAGGCCAUAGUCACAUAGUCAAAGUGGAAGUUCUCUCCUCCCUUCAGAGAAAGGUACCUCCUUCUUUGAUGACCUGUUCUUUCCACUGGGAUCUUACUCGCAGAGAUCUUUCAUCUAGGUGUUUUUUUUUGUUUUUUUUUUGCCAGACGGUGUUGGCUUUCCAUGCCUAAAAUACUCUCAUGGGCUCUUCAGCCAGAUCCGAAUGCCUUAAGGGCUGAUUCUGAGGCCAGAGUGCUGUUUAGGACAUCUGCCAUUCUAUGAGUCUGCUGUGUAUCCCGCUUCCCAUGUUGGAUCAUUCUCUCCUUAAUUCUGUCAGUUAAUAUUAGCAGACACUAGUCUUGUUUAUGUGAUCCCUUUGACUCUUAAUCCUAUCAUUAUGAUCAAUUAUGAACUGAAACUGAUCACUUGGACUAGUGAGAUGGCAUUGGUACAUGCCACCUUGAUGGGAUUGAAUUGGAAUCCCCUGGCCCGUUUCUAACUCUACCAUUUUGGGCUUGUCUGAUUGAGCAUGUUCCAAAUUGUACUUCUCCUUCCUCUCUUAUUCCCACUCUUAUAUUUAACAGGGAUCACUUUUCAGUUAAAUUUAAACACCUAAUGAUAAAUGUGUGUUAAUUACAGAGUUCAACCAAUAGUAAUAAGUAGAACAAAAAAAAAAUACUAAAAGGGAUAAAGUAUUAAAUUGUUCCUGACAGGACAAGGGCUGAUCAAGUCAUUAUUUCUUUAAACAACCUUUGAUGAAAACCAUGAACAUACAAUUAAUGCCCAUCCUAAGGAAGCAAAUGCUAUGGAUAAAGUAGCUUGGUUGAAUGAAUUUUGAGGGUCUAGAAUGUAUAGAGAAACUCCUCAAUGGCAUCCCUUGCUUAUCCAUGGCAGUUGAAGAGAAUGAAUGUAUUUUGCCCAAAAUUUAUUGAAUCUAUUGAGUCUCAUAUUCUAGUGAAACUGAGGAUUAGGGGCCGGUGCUAUGGCUCAUUAGGUUAAUCCUCUGCCUGUGGUGCUGGCAUCCCAUAUGGGCACUGGGUUCUAGUCCCGGUUGCUCCUCUUCCAGUCCAGCUCUCUGCUGUGGCCCGGGAGGACAGUGGAGGAUGGCUUAAGUGCGUGGGCCCAUGCACCCCCGUGAGAGACCAGGAGGAAGCACCUGGCUCCUGGCUUCAGAUCAGCGCAGCACCAGCCAUGGUGGCCAUUUGAGGAGUGAACCAAUGGAAGUAAGACCUUUCUGCCUCUCUCUGUAACUCUACCUGUCAAAUAAAUAAAUAAAAUCUUAAAAAAACAAACAAACAACUGAGAAUUAGGAAGAUACUCAGUGCCUGUCCUGAAGUUUGCCACAUCCAUGCUCUACUCUCACGUAUAUCCAUAUACUUUCCUACUCUGAUAUUCUUAAAUAACUUCUCAUUUUAUGCAUAUUGGACUCCCCUGAGUUCCCUUGUAGGUUCCUUAUGGGAAAAAGUCAUGAGAUCAUUGAUGAAAAACCACAGGAGCUUUAAGUGUGUUGAUGUAAAUGUCUUUGUCUUUCAAAAUGUCACCUCUGUGUGCCUCCUGGGAUCCUUGAUUUCAUUCUUCAAAAAAUUCUAAUGAAUACACUGCUUGAACUAUGGCACAGUAAAGAUGGAGUGUAAUGUAGAACCCUGAAAUGGGCACAGCUCUGCCUCUGAACUCUGCUGCUAUAGGAAGGAGAAAAAUCAGCUCCAGAGGUUGUCUCUUGCUUCAGAAAAAUGGCACCCUGCAUCUGUCAUCAGGCGCCUCUGAUUUCUGUGAUGGGGAACAGAGCUCUCUUUCUGCCCAGAAAAUUGGCUGUCUCAGCUAUACCUUCCUCCUGCAGAGGAACACUUCUCAUGGAAUAGCAUGAUUAUUCUGAUAUCUUCAUAAGCAGUUUGGUUUUGAAAGGUGAGUUGAAGAGCAAUGUCAGUGUGAACCAGAUUGGCCUGGAGAGAGGAGACAGAUAUGGCAACAGUAGCUCAGGAACUUAGAGGAAAAAUGGGGGAAAAAAAGAUGAACAACUUUCAUGGGGCAAAGGAGGAGCAACACAGAGGUGUUUCCUUUAUUUUUACCGUACCCAAUCCUUGCAGAGGAAUUUGUGCUGCCUCACUUUCCCUUCAGAGCAAUCUCUAAGUAGAAUUUCUUCUUCACUGAUCCAAUUUACAGCUUGUGAUGUAGAAUUUGGGUACUAAAUGUACAUGUGUGUGAUACAUAAAUGCCAAUAUACACAUGUAUAGGUACAUACGCCUAACAUGUAUGAGUAUGUCUCUGUGUGUUAGUAUAUAUAGUUCUGCCUAUUUUUUUAGCAUCACAUGACCUACAAAGAGAUGAUUUCUGAUGGAAAGAGGAGAGUAAGAGGUUUGAGGAGGUUCUGGGAUAUUUGUAAUAUUUAUGAGUUGAAGAGAAGAGGAAAGAGGAUUUUAAGAAUUGUUGUGUUUCAUAGAGUAGGGUUUUAUUAUUAUUCUUUGAAAGAUGCAGCCCUGCAAUUUUUCUGGGGUUUUGGCUAAUGGGCCUGGGUCUCUUUGCCAUGGCACAGUGCAGACCGUGUUUACACAAACGUUGAGUUAGCUCUCCUCCUUCCCCAAUACACCCAUUUCGUUCCCAAACAUGCUGUGAACAUUUUGCUUCAUUGGAUAGCAUGAGUGGUGGAUAAAACAUCAGGGGAAGGACAAAUUCUUAGACUCAAAACAAGUUGAAGCUGAUUUUUCUAAAAACAUGUUUAUUGGCAUGCCCAAAGGUGGAUCAAUUGGAGGAACUCUUAGAAAUAAAGAGACAUGAAAAUAAAGCAGUUUGCUGAAUUGACUCCCUGCUUGUGAAGAUUCAUUAGAAUACUUUUCUGGCAGCCAGUAUCCCUGCAAAAAAAAAGGGGGGGGGGCAUUUGCCAUGAGAGUAGACAUUUGUGUUGGAAGAAUGUGUGAGGGUUCCAGAUCAGGAAUGGAUUUUGAUGGGUUUUCCUUUUUUUUUUUUUUUUUUUUUGUCACUGGUUUAAAGGUAGUCUGUAAUAGGAGCAGUUUGCUUUGUGUUUGUGUCCAUGCAUCCUUCACUGAGCUAAUCCGAGUCUGGGAUUGCUCCUCCCAGGGUGGGAGUGAUUGCUGUUCUAGUCAUUGACUUGUGCACUGAGAACUUUGUUGAGUCACUCAGGUUGAUUUUGUGGAUCCUCAAGAAUGAUUUAUAAGAGACCUUGAUAGUAGGUUGGAAAUUUUAGUACCCUCUUGUUUAUUUCAAAUCACAAGAAAAUCACUGUGGAUCCAUGUUUGGAUUUCCCUCAAAAAUAGUCUGUCCACUGUAAGUUUCAUAUUUUAUGAAUGGUAGUUUGCUUUAUAAGUUCAAAAUAUAAAUAAGUAUUUAGCAAGCCAGGAAAUAAGAAUGUUGAAAGAGUUCCUCCUUUGUCAGAGAAAGAAAUGUGUGUGUGUGCAUACAAGCAGUCCCAAUUAAAUGAACAAGUUUUGGAAAAUUGUUGCUCUAAAUAUUUCAGGCAGGUACAGUCCAUAACAGCAGGAAGAAGAAACCCAAUUGAAGGGUACAUGGCACUAUCUAAACAGGGUGAGAAAUCACUCUGUCAAACAAGAAGGAAGGAUGAAAAUUAAACAGGUAUCAAAAUUACAUACUCCCCAGAAGAGAGGCAUACUCAGAAAAUUGACUACCAGGCAGGGGGUCUGCAAGUAAACUGCUGUCUAUAAUUCCUCCCUGUCACCAGGUAACUACAGCUGUAGUCAACAUGCUAAUAACAGCACAGGGUCUGUGUGCAGCACACUAGUAAGGAGCCAGCUGAGGGGCCGUCUGGGUUCUUCAAUGAAAACUCAAGGCCUCCUCCCAGCUCAUGGAACACCAUUAGAAGCUAAAGGACAGGCAUUUAGGAGCAGUAGAGUUCUUUACAUCUGCAAGUGUCAAUUACCAAAAAUAAGACCAAGGCUAACCCAGUGAAACAUUGUGUAGUGCAAUAAUCAAUGACAUUUGAUUUGUGUCCCUGGUUCCUAGCAUGGAGCUCCCCAGACUCUGAAUUUCCUGAGUGAUAGGAAUACUCAUAGGGAGCCUCUGUGAACUACAUCCAUGUUUAUGCUAAUGAGGUGACUCUUGCUGGGUCCCCAGAUACCUUCAUGAUGGGCACUGGUUGCAAGAGGAAGCAGCCUUGCCAUUGAAAAGUUGGAACGUACAACCCCAGUCCUCCCCGUCCCACCUACCACCACACUUCUGAGAAGGGGAUAAGGACUUGAGAUUGAAUUCAAUAUGCCGUGUUAACAAAGCCUUCUAAAUAACAGAGUUCAGAGAACUUGCAGAUCUGUGGCAUGGCCUGGAAAGGACUUGGAAGUUCUGCCUUCUUCUUGCAUUAUGCAUCAGUCCCUACUCCUGGAUUAGACCCUCUAUAAUGAACCCGCAUUAGUGAGUGAAGUACUUUGCUGAGUUCUGUGAGUCAGUCUAAUGAAUUAUGGAACCUGAGGUGGGAAACGUUGUCAUGGGAAUUCCUGAAUGCAUGGUUUGUAGAGCUGAAGUUCAGGGAGCCUAGGCACCCCAUUUGUGGCUGGAAUCUGAAGGGGGUAUGGUCUGAUGUGACUGAACCUUUAUCUCAUGGGAUCUGUACUAACUCUGGAUAGUUAAUGUCAGAACUGGACUGCUGAUGAUCAGUUGGUGUCAGAAGAAUAUUCACACAUAAGGUGAAUGGCAAUAAUCCAUAUAUGGUGAAACUUAGAGGGAAAACUCCAGGGAAGUAAAGCAGUGUAAUUAGAGUUCAUAAUUGCCACAAUCAAUAGUAAAACGACAGGAAGGGAUCUGCCUUUGGGCUGUUGCAGAGAGAUGCCAAGCCAAAGGCUGUUUUCCCAGCUGCCCUGCUUAAGGAACUUAUUUAUCGUCUCUCCCAGGAAUAAUCUAUAACUUGAAUGUUUAAAGGUAAAUGAGAACGUUCUGCCCCAUAGCCAUGAUUAGUAACCCUUAACUUGAGGUGUGCUUCUCAACAGGCUGAGACCACCAGGCUGUGGGCACCUGCAGCUGAAAACCACUGUUCAAGAAGGAGAGCAGUUAUUGUGUAUGAAGGUUCUGUGAAUGACCCCUCCCCCCUGAAUUCAGAUCCAUCGCUUUUACUUGGGAAUUAAACAGAAAAAGAAACCUGGGAUACCAUACUAUAGAUGGAGAACUGUGGAUGUUCACGUUUAUGGAGGGAAAUAUUUGGGAAAUGUGACUUCAUCUCUUUCUAUUACAGGUGAUUAGCAGAAGCUCAGAGUUGGCACAAAACAUGCCAAGAGAAGCCAGAUCUCUUUUCUGGUGCACAAAGCCUUAUGCUGCAUCCCAUGAUCAAUCCUUGUCCUGAUCUCAGUGCUUUGGGCUCUGAAAUUAGCUUCUUAGUAGACAGGUCUUGUCCUGAUUAGAACAUCCUUAUCAUAAAACAGAUGAUGACAAAAUAUGAUUAUUACUCCUAGAACUAUAAUAGGCAACUAUCCCCCCUCCCCCCAAAAAAGCACCUUAAUCCCAUGAUUAUCUCUUGGGCAUAUAAAGUCAUCUAUAGUUUCGUGGCUCCAAUAGCUACAACAUUGGUGAUACAGUGCCUCAAGGUCUCAAUACUGAGAGCCUAGAGAGAGAGAGAGAGAAAGAACACACUGGGUUGCAAUCUAUUGGCUCAAACUAACCAUGUGGCCCUAACCUCAGCAACUGGGAAAUACAAAGGAAUAUGUGUAUGUCUGGUCAACAUGGACCAAUUGUGCCACAGCUGAUCUCAUUAUCAAAAAAUACCUCAUAGACAAUCCCUACACUUCUCAUAUAGAAUAUAUGCAACUCCUUCCAGAAGAUGACGAACUGAUGCUUCAUCCUGUCAUUAUACAUAGCUCAAAGCCCAGCAUCUCUAGAUAAUGCCUAAUAAAUCAUGUCUCAGGUGUGCAUAUGGCUCUACUUGGUUUGGAGAUCUAUGAACUAGAAAGACAAAUCAUGUGUGCUUCCUGAUUCCUAAGUAUCUAUGACAGAGAAGUUAAUCACAAUAAGAACACCCCUUGGGAUUCCAAAUAACGUAUCUUUGUUUAGAGGAAAGGGAAAGAAUGGGGUCACCUAGCAGUGAAUGGUCUGUGAUAGUUGAAAUCUGCCAGGUGUUGGAAAGCAGUUUCUCCACCCAGGUGUGGGGGAGUCCUUGAUGAGGUGCUCUGAAAGGAGUCUUUUGUCAUUGUCCUCCAUUAGUCUCUAACUCAGUCCUGUGGGUGAUUUCUUCUUUAUCUGCUUGAGGAAGACUGGAGUAAGAAUGAUGUAAUAUUCCCUCCUCAAAGGCUAUACAAUUUCCUUAGUUUGUUUCCUGUUUAUGAGAAGUGGAGAUCUGAGAGUCAUUUUAAAUCACAGAGGCUUUUUGUCUCAGCUUCUGGUUUCCUUCAGCAAUACUUGUCCCUUAAGAACUCAGUAAGCUCCUGAUACUCUUUCCAGUAUGUUCCAUGAGUUAGUAAUUACACUCAAAAAUUCUCAAAUCUCCUUUAUAUUCAUUCUCUCAUUUUCUCUUCUAUGCAAAUUAAUGACCGCCAUAUUGAGUCUGUGUCAAACCAUGUGAGAAUACCUCAAAAUAUUCAUAGAAAAUGUGUAUUGAGAAAAAAAAUUCAUAGGUUUCAAAAAAAUUUAUACCUAAAUAGGCUUAUGUUUUCAUUGUAUUUUUCCACAAACUUUUUGAAGUUCCCAGAUACCCUUCACUGGGUCUCUGCUUGGAGUCAUUUUAUUCAACUGAGAGUCUAUGAGGGAUGCAAGGCCCUAAAUAUUGACACACCAUAUUUUUUCUCUUAUUUGUUUAUUUUUUUAACUUUUAUUUAAUGAAUAUAAAUUUCCAAAGUACGAUUUAUGGAUGACAAUGGCUUCCCCCCCAUAC